GCUCAACUCACCGUGUCUCCUUUCUCAAAGCUCUCCGCCGUUGGCCGUACCCAAGAGGAAAAAGAAGAAAAGCAACAACUAGAAAGUGAGGCAGAGACAUUUCCCACCCAGUUGUGAAACUGAGCCAAGUCACGGAGAAAAACUGGGAUCAAAGAAAUGAUCCAACUUGUGAGCCGGAGCCAAACACCUCGCUACGAGUUGCUGAUGUCUAACCCUGCAACGGGAACACCGAGAGAACGCUUCACCCGGCUCCAAGACGCCAACAAUGAGUCAUUAAUACUCCCCAGGCCCCAGGAAGCCUCACUUCACUCAGGGAGGCUGAAACAAAGAGGAGUGGCCUCCCUCACAAAGCGAGCCUCCCACAGCACACGUGGUUGGCUCCCACACCUGCCCUGAAACUCACAAUCCCCGGUCCCCCCUCCCCAGGCAAGCUCCACUCCGGAAGUCGGUUCAGCACUGCUCAGAAUGCCCUCUCUAUGGGGACACAGACACGGGAGGAGACAUCAUCAUGUGUAAAGAGAAAGGCGCAGGGACUCGGGUAUGAAGCUGUGCAAGCUCAUGCCUUCCUCACGUAUGUCUUCAAAGAGAUAAGCACUCAACCCAGGCAGGCAGGUAGGGUGGGAGGUCACGGCCCCGACCAGGACUGUGUCGUGGGGUCUCCACUUGCUGGCUGUGCAACUAUAUGCAAGAGUUUUGAUGUCUCUGCGGCCUCAUGUCCUCUUCUGGAACACAGGGAUGGCCCUCUGCUCCCAGGUCCUGGAAGCUAUGAUGAGCUUCAGCCAUGGCAGCAUCACAUCUCCCAAGUUCACGGUGGAGAAAAAAGCCCAAGAGGGACCAAAGGGGGAUGCUAUGGGUGUUUCUCCCCUCCCACUGCCUCCAUUCAGAGCUGUAUCCUUCCCCCUGGUGGAGGCCCCUGGCCUGAAACGGACCUUACAUGAAACGGCCUUGGUCACUAGAACCCACUUCUGCCCUGGUGGCAUCGCUCAGAGAGAGGUUUCAGUGGGGUAUGUCCAAAUUGCAUUUUCCUCUUGCAGCCCCAGAGUCACACUUCAGAUGCGCGUCCUCUGACGAAGACGGAAGGCAGCCUGUCCGCGUGUCUGAGUGUGUCACGGCCAUUCUGGCUCUGCCCACCAGUCCAUGAGCUCCUCUCCGGAGGCAGUGUAUUUCUCCGUUCUCCUCCAGCCCAACUUGUCAGCAGCCCCCUUGGGCGGCAAACGUAAAGGUUGUUUGGCUUCAAAGGUCAGCUCGGUACCCGUUCUUUGCCUCUGCUGCCAGAGUCCUACGAAAGCCGCGGGAGUGCAAGCCAUCCUGGAGGCAGGCCACCCCCGCUCCCACCCCCGUUCUCACUCCUUCACCAGCGCCCCCCUCGCCUGAACAGUGUCUUCAGCCAAGGAAGGACAGACGCUCACAGGCUGUGUUCCCACCGCCUUCCUCGCGCAGAAAAGCUUAAGCGCCAAAGCUCAGCACACACAGUUGUUCAAGUCACACAGCAGAAGCCACCAAGGGGGUCAGAUAGAAGGAGCCCUGGGGCUGGGGGGAUGACCCUUUGGUGUCCGUGGGCCUCUGUGCUCAAGAGGCUUGACAGUGCAGCGAAUAUAGCCUGGUUCAAAGUCAGGGAGGCUGUUUGGCUACAUUCUCAGGCAGUCAUUUCUAUUAAUGAGGCACCUGUCCUAAAAAUGCAGCUCUCAAAUCAGGGUCCAGGGCCUUUGGCACCCUGGCAGAUUCUUCCAGAUGGUCAGCAGGCUGUCGCAUCCAAUAUUAAUGCUUAAACUAUGACAGCAUCAACACCUCUGCUUCCAGCAUGACAAAACCACGUCCUUUCCUUGUGACAUCUCUAAGAACCAUGGACUGUCACCACUCAGGAACUUGGAGAGUUCCAACCUAUCCUCACUUCAUAGAUGAAAAGCCUGAGACCAGGAGCCAGGAAAAGCCACGCCGUAGCCCUUAAGAUUAAUGCCAGGUAGGGCAAGAACCCCAGUGCAGAUUUUCCUUGAGCUACAAUACCUGAACUGCCUUAAGGAAACACCUACUGUCAACCAUAGACUUUCUCCCACUCAAGUCCAGUGAAGGGUUUUUCCUAUCAAGGGUGGGUUCAGUAGCUAGACCAUGGGGAACUUUGCUUAAAUCACUGGAGAACCUCUGUUGUUAAUCAGAUUAAAUCCAAAGAGGAUUUAUUAAGUUUAUUUUUCAUUAGACAAUAUAAAACCAGCAAGUUCAAGGUCUUCUCAGUCUCAGAGGUCUAGGCUGUGUCCAGAACCCUACAGUUUACCUACCCUAGUUUACAGCUAUGACUCUCAACCAUUACUAUGCAUCAGAAUCGCCUGGAAGGUGUUCUAAAAUGCGGCUUGCUGGGCCCUAGAAUUUCAGACUCAGGAACUCUGAGGCAAGACCCAAGAACGUGUAUUUCAUAUAAAUUCCCAGGUGACACCACAACCCACUUUGAGAACCAUGUACUCGAGUGUCACCAAGACGGACAUUUCCAUUUGCAGUCCCCACUCCAUCCCCCAAGCUACACAUUCACAGCUACUCCGCACCUGCGCAGUCGCCUGCCCUGGCUGCAACCUUAUCUGAUGGUUCUGCCCAAUUAUGGUGACUCGCUUGUGCUACAACAUAAUGUAUUGCCCCAUUAACAGAUGGCUGAAGAUUCAGGCUGGCCUCCUUCCCAAGAUCGCCUGCCCUGUGCUGUACCAGUUCCCCCAGUCCAGACAGAGCAGAUGAACCAGUGAGGGGGUUUUUAGACACCAUCUUGACAGCAAGUCAUUCCUAAAACGCUCCC
ensembl:lncRNA